AGAGUUUGAUCCUGGCUCAGAACGAACGCUGGCGGCGUGCCUAACACAUGCAAGUCGUACGAGAAAUCCUGGGCAACUGGGAAAGUAGAGUGGCGCACGGGUGAGUAACACGUGGGUAACCUACCCUUAGAUUUGGGAUAACUCCGCGAAAGCGGGGCUAAUACCGGAUGAUAUUCUGAUUCCCAAGGGAGUCGGAAUCAAAGAUGGCCUCUGCAUGCAAGCUAUCGUCAAAGGAUGGGCCCGCGUACCAUUAGCUAGUUGGUAGGGUAACGACCUACCAAGGCAACGAUGGUUAGCUGGUCUGAGAGGAUGGCCAGCCACACUGGAACUGAGACACGGUCCAGACUCCUACGGGAGGCAGCAGUGGGGAAUCUUGCGCAAUGGGGGAAACCUUGACGCAGCAACGCCGCGUGGGUGAUGAAGGCCUUCGGGUCGUAAAGCCCUGUCAGGUAGGAAGAAACGUAUCGGUGCUAAUACCACCGAUACUUGACGGUACUACCGGAGGAAGCACCGGCUAACUCCGUGCCAGCAGCCGCGGUAAUACGGAGGGUGCAAGCGUUGUUCGGAAUUACUGAGCGUAAAGCGCGUGUAGGCGGUCGGGCAAGUUAGAUGUGAAAGCCUUCCGCUUAACGGAAGAAGUGCAUUUAAAACUACCCGGCUGGAGUACGGGAGAGGAGAGUGGAAUUCCCGGUGUAGAGGUGAAAUUCGUAGAUAUCGGGAGGAACACCAGUGGCGAAGGCGGCUCUCUGGUCCGAUACUGACGCUGAGACGCGAAAGCGUGGGGAGCAAACAGGAUUAGA
rnacentral:rRNA from 1 species